rnacentral:rRNA from 1 species
AUUGAACGCUGGCGGCAGGCUUAACACAUGCAAGUCGAGCGGAGAGAGGUAGCUUGCUACUGAUCUUAGCGGCGGACGGGUGAGUAAUGCUUAGGAAUCUGCCUAUUAGUGGGGGACAACAUUUCGAAAGGAAUGCUAAUACCGCAUACGUCCUACGGGAGAAAGCAGGGGAUCUUCGGACCUUGCGCUAAUAGAUGAGCCUAAGUCGGAUUAGCUAGUUGGUGGGGUAAAGGCCUACCAAGGCGACGAUCUGUAGCGGGUCUGAGAGGAUGAUCCGCCACACUGGGACUGAGACACGGCCCAGACUCCUACGGGAGGCAGCAGUGGGGAAUAUUGGACAAUGGGCGCAAGCCUGAUCCAGCCAUGCCGCGUGUGUGAAGAAGGCCUUAUGGUUGUAAAGCACUUUAAGCGAGGAGGAGGCUACUUUAGUUAAUACCUAGAGAUAGUGGACGUUACUCGCAGAAUAAGCACCGGCUAACUCUGUGCCAGCAGCCGCGGUAAUACAGAGGGUGCAGGCGUUAAUCGGAUUUACUGGGCGUAAAGCGCGCGUAGGCGGCUAAUUAAGUCAAAUGUGAAAUCCCCGAGCUUAACUUGGGAAUUGCAUUCGAUACUGGUUAGCUAGAGUGUGGGAGAGGAUGGUAGAAUUCCAGGUGUAGCGGUGAAAUGCGUAGAGAUCUGGAGGAAUACCGAUGGCGAAGGCAGCCAUCUGGCCUAACACUGACGCUGAGGUGCGAAAGCAUGGGGAGCAAACAGGAUUAGAUACCCUGGUAGUCCAUGCCGUAAACGAUGUCUACUAGCCGUUGGGGCCUUUGAGGCUUUAGUGGCGCAGCUAACGCGAUAAGUAGACCGCCUGGGGAGUACGGUCGCAAGACUAAAACUCAAAUGAAUUGACGGGGGCCCGCACAAGCGGUGGAGCAUGUGGUUUAAUUCGAUGCAACGCGAAGAACCUUACCUGGCCUUGACAUAGUAAGAACUUUCCAGAGAUGGAUUGGUGCCUUCGGGAACUUACAUACAGGUGCUGCAUGGCUGUCGUCAGCUCGUGUCGUGAGAUGUUGGGUUAAGUCCCGCAACGAGCGCAACCCUUUUCCUUAUUUGCCAGCGAGUAAUGUCGGGAACUUUAAGGAUACUGCCAGUGACAAACUGGAGGAAGGCGGGGACGACGUCAAGUCAUCAUGGCCCUUACGGCCAGGGCUACACACGUGCUACAAUGGUCGGUACAAAGGGUUGCUACCUAGCGAUAGGAUGCUAAUCUCAAAAAGCCGAUCGUAGUCCGGAUUGGAGUCUGCAACUCGACUCCAUGAAGUCGGAAUCGCUAGUAAUCGCGGAUCAGAAUGCCGCGGUGAAUACGUUCCCGGGCCU